GGCCUGGCGUUAGCCGCCGCCGCGCUUCUCCCCCAGCAUCGGCGCGCCUUCAGCUGGAUCCCUGAAAGCAGCCGCAUGAAAACACCCGGGAGAUGCCGAGGAGUACAGUGGGAUUGGAAGUAUAAAAUAAUGCAAGAUAAUACAUAGUUUAUUUAUAUUAUUGUAACUGAUUACAUUUUAUUUCCUUUAGUUAAACUAUAAACAUGAAGAAAUUAAAGCUUAAAGAACUGGAAAGCUGUCUUCAGCAAGUCGAUACUUUUGAAAGUCCAAAACUACUCCUUGAACAGUAUCCAACAAGGCCUCAUAUCGCAGCAUGUAUGCUUUAUACAAUUCACAAUACUUUUGAUGAUAUUGAGAACAAAACAAUUGCAGAUUUAGGAUGUGGUUGUGGCAUGCUCAGCAUUGGAAGUGCAAUGUUAGGAGCAGGAUUAUGUGUGGGGUUUGACAUAGAUGCGGAUGCACUGGAAAUAUUUAAUAGCAAUAUUGAAGACUUCGAGCUCAUGAACAUCAACAUGGUUCAGUGUGAUGUCUGUUCUUUAUCUGACAGCAUGUCAAAGACUUUUGACACAGUUAUUAUGAACCCUCCGUUUGGUACCAAGCAUAAUAAAGGAAUGGAUAUGGUUUUUCUGAAAACUGCUUUACAAAUGGCAAAAACAGCUGUAUAUUCCCUUCACAAAACUUCAACACGGCAGCACAUUCAAAAAAAAGCAGAUGAGUGGGAAGUGAAGAUGGAAGUCAUAGCAGAACUUAGAUAUGACCUACCAGCAUCAUACAAGUUCCAUAAGAAGAAAUCAACACAGAUCCUCAGUUGGUACCUAACAGCAACAAACCUGAGAGCCAACAACAUUUAUUCUUUAAGUCAAAUCCAACCUCUCAUCACUAGGCAAAACAUCAAUAACAGAAGUUGCCCUCUUUAAUACUCCUAAAUAGGUAUAAUUACAAACUUCUUCCUUUAGUUUCUGCCUCCUAAUUAAUCUUUGAAACUUCAAGGAACUUAAUGGAGCAAGGAGUGAAAAUAUCUGCACUUAGUAAUACAUCCUAAAGAUGUCUAGUUCUCUCUUUUACAAACUUGUCUUCACUGCAGUUCUGCCUGAAUAAUGAAUCAAGCUGCUUUGAUAAGAGAACAGAGACAAUCUGCUGGUGCACACUGAAACACAGAUUGCGCUGGGCAGAAGAAUCUUCCCUCACCACCUUCCAUUUGGUCAGCCAGUCACAAGCACACUGUUAAGAAAGCUGAGUGGAGACAGCCAUUUUGUACUCUUCUGUAGCGUGAAAUGCAGAGCAGCCUCCAAGUCGGCUGUAUCUGCUUGCUCCUUCAGUGGUCUUUGCUGUUUUACCUGUCACUGAAUAGUGCAUGGAUUUCUUGGAGCAAGUUUUCCCUUAAUACAAAUUGUUAAAAUAAAACUUGGGAGUCUUUUGGCUGCAUGCUGCCAAAUCACCAGCAGUUCUACCCCAGUUAAUAAGGUGAGGAUUACACAGAGGCAGCACACCUGAGAUAGUAUCGUUACAAGAGAACCUGUUCGUAAAGCUGUUGACUUUGCUUUGGUUUUGUCAUUUAAAGAGAACUGCCCCUCGAUCUCUCCAGGGUAGCCUGGCUCUCCUAGCCUCACCAAAAACCACACCAGUCUGAAAUAAUGCAGGAGAGCCUUCUUUCUACUGCUGGAUACCCAAGAAACCAUUACAAAAUGCCAAGAUAACAGUGCUGUGAAGCAUAAUGGAAGAACAUAUGCUUUUGUCUUCACCUUGCUUUUGCCACCUAAAUUCCUUCAGCCUUGUUAGAUGCUUGAAUACCCCAUCUUUCUUGCACUUCCCCAGCUCUCCCAGUGCACCACUCUCCCACUCUGCCUCACACCAGACACCAGAAUACCCAAAACCAGCAACUCUCCACAUAAUAAGGCUCAGUUCCACGGCUAAGAAGAAAUGAAAAACAAAGUCUAUUUCCUUAGCAGUAUUUUCAAGGUAAAAAUGAAACCGUACAAAAGUGUGAAACAACACAAGGCUGGGGACAAGUCCUUCAGAUUAAGUCUCACACCUGGAAAAGUUGUUUGUUUUUUUUUUUUUUAAAAGCACCCCUUCAGCUGCAAGUAACAACAAACUGAAGGCAAGACUAAGAAAGACUCAAGCUUGCCAUAUGUGGAAUUCAGUUCAGACACUGAUCGAGCUCUAACCUAUUUACAAUAAAAGCAGAAGCAGCCUUCUAAUUAAAGAGAAAUUCUAGUCUUGCUGCACAUGCUCACUUCUGACCCUUUAGCUCAGUCGUUUGGCACAAGCUAGUCUUCAGGAUCUGACUUCCAGAUCAAUAGUUUUCAGUUGCUGUGCAGCAGUGAAGACUGACAAAAAGCUAGCUCCUCUGAAGAGCAACCACAGUCUGAACAGCAUGCAAAAUCCUAUGUGAGAUUUUACUGUAAGAGCUUUCUUAGUAGACCACACCACGUUGCUCCUUCUGUGUGCCAACACUUCGUAUCAGUAAUACUCAAAAUGAAAACAAGUUAAAAUAAUGCAAGUAGACAUGAGAUUGGAAUUACAAAUGGAAAGUGAUGGCCAAGCCCUUUAACUAGAAUAAUUUGAUUCCACACUAUAUUAGCUAGAUCAUCCCAAAAGAAC